CCAUGCUAAAAAUCCACUUUUUUUUCCCCUUUAUAGGGGAUGCCACUAGUUUCCUGAAGUUAUUAAGGAUACCAAAUUAAAGAUCUGAUGAGAACAUGCAAUUUUAAUACUGCCUUAAGAACAGAGAAUUGGGAAGAGUUCAUCUUCUGAUGCCCUCACCUGCUAUCAGACAACUACAGCAGCCCAAAGCGAGCGAGCUCCGCAGAUCUGUUGUGAGGGGAAGUGUCUGACUCUAGAGCUGCACAGAUGGAACAGUGCUGCUUUCACAGGGGAUGUGCUACUCAAAUUUCAAAGGAACAGCAUGGAAAACAUCUUAUCUUGCUGGAGUCCUGCUGCCAGUUGAGGAGUGUGACUGGAGCUCUGAAAACUGGCUUCUGCAGUGGCACUGGGGUGUGUGCUGGGGCAACAGCAGGGGAUUC